UCCAAGUAACCGACAUCCACCUUAUCCACAAGAUAAAAAACACACUGAUUUUGAAUUCAUAAACAAAUCCAUGUCACUUUAACUUAAUCAUUGUCUCUCUCAACACCCAAGAGUGACUUCAAUAGAAAGGUUUUCUUUACGAUGCUGCUUUCAUCUCUCAAUAUGAGACCAAUGUAUCAAGGAUGCCACCUUUCAAUGAAUGGUUGUAGAGAAGGAGAAAAUAAUAGAAAAACAAGAGAGCCAAUUGGGACCAUAGAAACCAAAACAUUAGCACCAGUAGCAUCAGCUGCAAUUGCUAUGUACAGCCUCAAAAUGGCAAUUUCAAAGCUGAAAGAAGACUCUCCAUUUUGUACCUCAUCUGGCAUAGUGAGAGUCGAGGUUCCAAUUGAGGAGCAGGUUGAAGCCAUUGAUUGGCUCCAUUCACAAAGCCACUUUCAAUUUGCCAGAUGCUACUUCUCUGGUAGGGAACAAAAUUCUUUCCCUGGAAACUUGGUCAGCAUUGCUGGUGUUGGUUCUGCUGUUUUCUUUUCUCAGCCACACCCCUUUUCCUAUUGGGAUUGGAUAUCUAUCAGGAGGUUUCUUUCUGAUAAAUGCCCUUCGAUUCGCGCAUAUGGAGCUAUCCGUUUCAAUGCAAAAUCUAAAGUAUCAUCAGAAUGGUUGGCUUUUGGUUGUUUCUACUUCAUGAUUCCUCAGGUUGAGUUUAAUGAGCUUGAAGGAGGAUCAAUGCUUAUCACUACUAUUGCCUGGGAUAAUGCUCUUUCUUGGUCGUGGGAAAAUGCAAUCACUGCACUUCAAGAAACACUUUUCAAAGUUUCUUCUUCCAUUGUGAAUUUUCCUAAGCUAGCUACUCCAACAUUAAUAUUAAGCAGCCAUAACAUUCCAUGUAAAGUAGAUUGGAAUCUCGCUGUUAAUAGAGCUUUGCAGAUGAUAGAGAGAAAUAAUUCCUCACUGACCAAGGUCGUGCUAGCUCGGAGCACUAGAGUGGUACCUACUGCUAAUAUUGAUCCUCUAACAUUGUUAGCAUGCGUAAAGGUUGAAGGUGAAAAUGCUUAUCAGUUUUUCCUUCAGCCGCCUAAUGCACCGGCAUUUAUUGGAAACACACCAGAGCAACUAUUUCACAGAAAACAACUCAAUAUCACCAGUGAGGCUUUGGCUGCAACCCGUGCUAGAGGAGCGUCACUAGAACUAGACCGUGAAAUUGAACUUGACCUACUUACCAGUCAAAAGGACGACAUUGAGUUUACUAUAGUAAGAGAGACCAUUAAAAGAAAAUUGGAGGUGGUCUGCAGAAAGAUUACAAUCAAGCCCAAGAAAAUGGUCAGAAAACUAUCUAGGAUCCAACAUUUAUAUGCUCAAUUAGCUGGAAGGUUGAGAAGUGAAGAGGAUGAGUUUGAAAUUUUGUCAUCACUUCACCCAAGUCCUGCAGUUUGUGGGUAUCCAACAGAAGAGGCACAUAUUUUAAUUGCAGAAACAGAAGCGUUCGACCGGGGGAUGUAUGCUGGACCUGUUGGUUGGUUUGGAGGAGGAGAGAGCGAGUUUGCUGUCGGCAUCAGGUCAGCAUUGGUGGAACAGGAACAAGGUGCUUUGAUAUAUGCUGGAACAGGGAUAGUGAAAGGAAGCAAUCCAUACUUAGAGUGGGAUGAGCUAGACCUCAAGACGUCUCAGGUGGUCUGUUUGUGAAUGCACCUCAGUUUGUGUGCAUUUCCAUUGUGGCCAUGUACAUUUUGGACAUAGUGACAUACCAUUCACUGCUAGCAAUUCACCAAGUUGCUCAAAGGACUUGCCAAUUAGACAUAAAGUAGAAUGUAAACUAGUAAGCUUCAUCAAUGUAUAAGGUUAGUAGGGUUGAUGGUUAUUUACUUUUAAUUCAUUUAUGUGAUUUUAUGUAACACAUGCAUAGUUUAUAAUUUAUUUUUUAUGACCAGAGAUUAAUUAUACAGUUCAUUUUGUACCCAAAUAUUUAUGAAACAUUGAUAGGCCAUGCAUGGUGAUUCAUGGUUUUUCCUA